rnacentral:rRNA from 1 species
AUGAACGCUAGCUACAGGCUUAACACAUGCAAGUCGAGGGGCAUCAGGAAGAAAGCUUGCUUUCUUUGCUGGCGACCGGCGCACGGGUGAGUAACACGUAUCCAACCUGCCCUUUACUCGGGGAUAGCCUUUCGAAAGAAAGAUUAAUACCCGAUGGCAUAAUGAUUCCGCAUGGUUUCAUUAUUAAAGGAUUCCGGUAAAGGAUGGGGAUGCGUUCCAUUAGGUUGUUGGUGAGGUAACGGCUCACCAAGCCUUCGAUGGAUAGGGGUUCUGAGAGGAAGGUCCCCCACAUUGGAACUGAGACACGGUCCAAACUCCUACGGGAGGCAGCAGUGAGGAAUAUUGGUCAAUGGGCGCUAGCCUGAACCAGCCAAGUAGCGUGAAGGAUGAAGGCUCUAUGGGUCGUAAACUUCUUUUAUAUAAGAAUAAAGUGCAGUAUGUAUACUGUUUUGUAUGUAUUAUAUGAAUAAGGAUCGGCUAACUCCGUGCCAGCAGCCGCGGUAAUACGGAGGAUCCGAGCGUUAUCCGGAUUUAUUGGGUUUAAAGGGAGCGUAGGUGGACUGGUAAGUCAGUUGUGAAAGUUUGCGGCUCAACCGUAAAAUUGCAGUUGAUACUGUCAGUCUUGAGUACAGUAGAGGUGGGCGGAAUUCGUGGUGUAGCGGUGAAAUGCUUAGAUAUCACGAAGAACUCCGAUUGCGAAGGCAGCUCACUGGACUGCAACUGACACUGAUGCUCGAAAGUGUGGGUAUCAAACAGGAUUAGAUACCCUGGUAGUCCACACAGUAAACGAUGAAUACUCGCUGUUUGCGAUAUACAGUAAGCGGCCAAGCGAAAGCAUUAAGUAUUCCACCUGGGGAGUACGCCGGCAACGGUGAAACUCAAAGGAAUUGACGGGGGCCCGCACAAGCGAAGGAACAUGUGGUUUAAUUCGAUGAUACGCGAGGAACCUUACCCGGGCUUAAAUUGCAGUGGAAUGAUGUGGAAACAUGUCAGUGAGCAAUCACCGCUGUGAAGGUGCUGCAUGGUUGUCGUCAGCUCGUGCCGUGAGGUGUCGGCUUAAGUGCCAUAACGAGCGCAACCCUUAUCUUUAGUUACUAACAGGUUAUGCUGAGGACUCUAGAGAGACUGCCGUCGUAAGAUGUGAGGAAGGUGGGGAUGACGUCAAAUCAGCACGGCCCUUACGUCCGGGGCUACACACGUGUUACAAUGGGGGGUACAGAAGGCAGCUAGCGGGUGACCGUAUGCUAAUCCCAAAAGCCUCUCUCAGUUCGGAUCGAAGUCUGCAACCCGACUUCGUGAAGCUGGAUUCGCUAGUAAUCGCGCAUCAGCCACGGCGCGGUGAAUACGUUCCCGGGCCUUGUACACACCGCCCGUCAAGCCAUGGGAGCCGGGGGUACCUGAAGUACGUAACCGCAAGGAUCGUCCUAGGGUAAAACUGGUGACUGGGGCU